rnacentral:rRNA from 1 species
CGAAGGGGGCUAGCGUUGCUCGGAAUCGACUGGGCGUAAAGCGCACGUAGGCGGCUUUCUAAGUCAGGGGUGAAAUCCUGGAGCUCAACUCCAGAACUGCCUUUGAUACUGGAGAGCUUGAGUCCGGGAGAGGGUGAGUGGAACUCCGAGUGUAGAGGUGAAAUUCGUAGAUAUUCGGAAGAACACCAGUGGCGAAGGCGGCUCACUGGCCCGGUACUGACGCUGAUGUGCGAAAGCGUGGGGAGCAAACAGGAUUAGAUACCCUGGUAGUCCACGCCGUAAACGAUGGAUGCUAGUCGUUGGCGGGUUUACCCGUCAGUGGCGCAGCUAACGCAUUAAGCAUCCCGCCUGGGGAGUACGGUCGCAAGAUUA